rnacentral:rRNA from 1 species
AGUGAACGCUGGCGGUAGGCCUAACACAUGCAAGUCGAACGGCCGCACAGUAAGAGCUUGCUCUUACGGGUGGCGAGUGGCGGACGGGUGAGGAAUACAUCGGAAUCUACUUUUUCGUGGGUGAUAACGUAGGGAAACUUACGCUAAUACCUCAUACGACCUACGGGUGAAAUCAGGGGAUCUUCGGACCUUGCGCGAUUCAAUGAGCCGAUGUCGGAUUAGCUAGUUGGCGGGGUAAAGGCCCACCAAGGCGACGAUCCGUAGCUGGUCUGAGAGGAUGAUCAGCCACACUGGAACUGAGACACGGUCCAGACUCCUACGGGAGGCAGCAGUGGGGAAUAUUGGACAAUGGGCGCAAGCCUGAUCCAGCCAUACCGCGUGAGUGAAGAAGGCCUUCGGGUUGUAAAGCUCUUUUGUUGGGAAAGAAAAGCAGCAGGUGAAUACCCCGCUGUUCUGACGGUACCCAAAGAAUAAGCACCGGCUAACUUCGUG